CAUCUACUCCCUUCGUUCGGAAUUAUUUGUCGCAGAAAUGAAUGUAUCUAGAUGUAUUUUAGUUCUAGAUACAUCCAUUUCCGAGACAAGUAAUUCCGAACGGAGGGAGUACGUA
rnacentral:pre_miRNA from 1 species